rnacentral:lncRNA from 1 species
CUAGGCAGUAGUCUUAUUCAACAAUGCUGAACUGCAUCAUUGGCCGGGGACCCACAGAUUUACUCUUUUGGAAAGACCCUUUAAUUAGAUUCACCAUCACUCGCUCUUUCAUCAUUAGAAAUGAAGAAGAAUCAGCAAGGAGGCUGGCCAUCCGAAGAGUACUAAUGCUAGGCAAAGAAUAAAAAGGAGAACAGGGAGAUCUGAUAAGUUUAAAUUGGUGGGGGAAAGGGAAGAAAGCAUUCAGGCUAGCUGUUUCUAGCUAGUCAGUUCUUCUAGGGCAUACUUUUGCUUCAACAGGAAAUAUUAUUGGCCCACAGCUCAAGAUUGAAUUCCCCCACUGCUCAGGCUUCAUGUUUCUGUACCAUGAAGGGAAGAUACUUUGCAUUUCAUCCAGGGCUCUGUGUCCUGCUAAUACCAUUGGGAGCUAUUGCCCACAAGAAUGGAGCUCCCUGUGCUCGGUGCCCACGGAAUGCCCACUGUACCAAUGCCAGCUCCUGCCGCUGUGAUCCUGGAUUCACUUCACUCUCUGGAAAGGUCAUCUUUAGCACCUCCUCGGAGGUCUGUACAGGUAAAGAGACUGAGAGAUCGUAGAGGGGGUCAUCACAGAGGGGGUCCUUAGAGGAGUCAUCACAGACUCCUCAGCCCUUGAAGCAGCACUUGAUUUCAUUGUCCAGGGCAGGAAAGAGAAGCCAAGAGACAGGCAAUCAGGCCUCAUGGUCAAGGAGUACAGUGUUAAAAGCUGAGGAUUUGGAGCUGGACUAUCUGAAUUCCAGAUUUUUUACCGAUCAGCUGUGCAAGACCAAGCAGGGCCUCAAUUUCCUUCUCUGUAAAUCAGGGACAAUGAUAAUAUCAACCCAUUUAGUUAUGUGUUUUAAAUCAACAUAUAGGGCCGCCUGGGUGGCGCAGUCGGUUAAGCGUCCGACUUCAGCCAGGUCACGAUCUCGCGGUCCGUGAGUUCGAGCCCCGCGUCAGGCUCUGGGCUGAUGGCUCGGAGCCUGGAGCCUGUUUCCGAUGCUGUGUCUCCCUCUCUCUCUGCCCCUCCCCUGUUCAUGCUCUGUUUCUCUGUCCCAAAAAUAAAUAAAAAACGUUGAAAAAAAUUUAAAUCA